UCAGGACGAACGCUGGCGGCGUGCCUAAUACAUGCAAGUCGAACGGUCUUUCUAUGGAGGCUUGCUUCCACUGAGAAGAUAGUGGCGAACGGGUGAGUAACACGUGGGUAACCCUGCCCAUAAGAGGGGGGAUAACAUCCGGAAACGGGUGCUAAUACCGCAUAGUUUUCUUGAUCGCAUGAUCGGGAAAGGAAAGACGGCCUUUGUGCUGUCGCUUAUGGAUGGACCCGCGGCGUAUUAGUUAGUUGGUGAGGUAACGGCUCACCAAGACGAUGAUACGUAGCCGACCUGAGAGGGUGAUCGGCCACAUUGGGACUGAGACACGGCCCAAACUCCUACGGGAGGCAGCAGUAGGGAAUCUUCCGCAAUGGACGAAAGUCUGACGGAGCAACGCCGCGUGAGUGAAGAAAGGUUUUCGGAUCGUAAAACUCUGUUGUCAGAGAAGAACAAGUUGGAGAGUAACUGCUCCAGCCUUGACGGUAUCUGACCAGAAAGCCACGGCUAACUACGUGCCAGCCGCAGC
rnacentral:rRNA from 1 species